rnacentral:rRNA from 1 species
CCCUAUCGGCUCAAAGUGGCAUUCAGGCGCAACAUAUGCUGAUUCAAAGACAUCUGAUGGAUAUCACUGGGAGUAUCUAUGCAAUUCUACUACUCUAAGAUAGUCUGCUAUAUUCUGCUAUACUGAUAUCUAUAUCUAGUCUGAGUGCUGAGGAGCUCGAGGAGUAGUCUCUGAUAUGCUCUGAGAAGAUCUGAUAUAUAUGACUAUAUCUGAGAGGACUGAUCUGCUAGACUCUC